rnacentral:rRNA from 1 species
CGGGAUGCUCCAGCAGUGGGGAAUAUUGCACAAUGGGCGCAAGCCUGAUGCAGCCAUGCCGCGUGUAUGAAGAAGGCCUUCGGGUUGUAAAGUACUUUCAGCGGGGAGGAAGGGAGUAAAGUUAAUACCUUUGCUCAUUGACGUUACCCGCAGAAGAAGCACCGGCUAACUCCGUGCCAGCAGCCGCGGUAAUACGGAGGGUGCAAGCGUGUAAUCGGAAUUACUGGGCGUAAAGCGCACGCAGGCGGUUUGUUAAGUCAGAUGGGAAAUCCCCGGGCUCAACCUGGGAACUGCAUCUGAUACUGGCAAGCUUGAGUCUCGUAGAGGGGGGUAGAAUUCCAGGUGUAGCGGUGAAAUGCGUAGAGAUCUGGAGGAAUACCGGUGGCGAAGGCGGCCCCCUGGACGAAGACUGACGCUCAGGUGCGAAAGCGUGGGGAGCAAAUAGGAUUAGAUACCCUUGUAGUC